rnacentral:rRNA from 1 species
UAAUACGGAGGGUGCGAGCGUUAUCCGGAAUUACUGGGUUUAAAGGGUGCGUAGGCGGCUUGGUAAGUCAGGAGUGAAAGUUUGCGGCUCAACCGUAAAAUUGCUUUUGAUACUGCCGGGCUGGAAUCAGGAUGAGGUCAGCGGAAUGUGGCAUGUAGCGGUGAAAUGCAUAGAUAUGCCAUAGAACACCAAUUGCGAAGGCAGCUGGCUAGACCUGUAUUGACGCUGAGGCACGAAAGCGUGGGGAGCGAACAGGAUUAGAUACCCUGGUAGUCCACGCCCUAAACGAUGCUUACUCGACGUAUGAUGCUUGUCAUCGUGCGUCCAAGGGAAACCGUUAAGUAAGCCACCUGGGGAGUACGACCGCAAGGUUG